UACGAAGGGGACUAGCGUUGUUCGGAUUUACUGGGCGUAAAGCGCGCGUAGGCGGAUCGCUAAGUCAGGGGUGAAAUCCCAGGGCUCAACCCUGGAACUGCCUUUGAUACUGACGGUCUGGAGAUCGGGAGAGGUUGGUGGAAUUCCGAGUGUAGAGGUGAAAUUCGUAGAUAUUCGGAAGAACACCAGUGGCGAAGGCGGCUCACUGGACCGGUAUUGACGCUGAGGUGCGAAAGCGUGGGGAGCAAACAGG
rnacentral:rRNA from 1 species